rnacentral:rRNA from 1 species
GAAUAUUGGACAAUGGGGGGAACCCUGAUCCAGCCAUGCCGCGUGUGUGAAGAAGGCCUUUUGGUUGUAAAGCACUCUAAGCGAGGAGGAGGCUACCUGGAUUAAUACUUUAGGAUAGUGGACGUUACUCGCAGACUAAGCACCGGCUAACCACGUGCCAGCAGCCGCGGUAAUACAGAGGGUGCGAGCGUUAAUCGGAUUUACUGGGCGUAAAGCGUGCGUAGGCGGCCAAUUAAGUCAAAUGUGAAAUCCCCGAGCUUAACUUGGGAAUUGCAUUCGAUACUGGUUGGCUAGAGUAUGGGGGAGGAGGGUAGAAUUCCAGGUGUAGCGGUGAAAUGCGUAGAGAUCUGGAGGAAUACCGAUGGCGAAGGCAGCCAUCUGGCCUAAUGCUGACGCUGAGGUACGAAAGCAUGGGGAGCAAACAG